UAUCAUCGGCAGCCUAUUGGCAUACAGU
rnacentral:piRNA from 1 species